rnacentral:rRNA from 1 species
ACAGGUGCUGCAUGGCUGUCGUCAGCUCGUGUUGUGAAAUGUUGGGUUAAGUCCCGCAACGAGCGCAACCCUUAUCCUUUGUUGCCAGCGGUCCGGCCGGGAACUCAAAGGAGACUGCCAGUGAUAAACUGGAGGAAGGUGGGGAUGACGUCAAGUCAUCAUGGCCCUUACGACCAGGGCUACACACGUGCUACAAUGGCGCAUACAAAGAGAAGCGACCUCGCGAGAGCAAGCGGACCUCAUAAAGUGCGUCGUAGUCCGGAUUGGAGUCUGCAACUCGACUCCAUGAAGUCGGAAUCGCUAGUAAUCGUGGAUCAGAAUGCCACGGUGAAUACGUUCCCGGGCCUUGUACACACCGCCCGUCACACCAUGGGAGUGGGUUGCAAAAGAAGUAGGUAGCUUAACCUUCGGGAGGGCGCUUACCACUUUGUGAUUCAUGACUGGGGUGAAGUCGUAACAAGGUAACCGUAGGGGAACCUGCGGUUGGAUCACCUCCUUACUUUAAAGAAGC